UGACUCCAUCCCUAUUACGAGGUACCUUCGGGGCCACCUUCAAGCCCGCGAUCCUCCGGCUGACUCCGGCCUCCGCGAUUCCUGAGACUUCCAGCGAUUCCUGGGACCAACUCCGACCUCCGGUCUCAGCGCUACAACCGUUGCCACCGCCGCCUCCGCUACGCGCGCCCUUGCCGCCACCGCCGCCUCUGCUCCGCGCUCCCUUGCCGCCACCGCCGCAUCCGCUCCUGAUUCUCCCUCUGGCACACGAACAACCCUGGCAAGGCAGGCAGGCCACCAGUCGCAGACUGCCUUUACAUUUAUCUCCAUCAUUACAACCUUGGUAGCAAUCCCCCAUGUGACAGUUCAGGAUAUGUUUGUUUGCAUCCUUGCCUUCAUGCCAACUGGAUGGGGCUUGCUUUUGGUAAGUCCAAGUAUUUUAUUUUUUGUGUACAUGUUGCAGGAGGGUUAAAGCGGAAAGAAGGUGACCUACCUCCCUGUUGUUACAUUUUCAUCUCAAUCACUAAAGCAUUUUAGAAAGAGGUUGAUGAAGAGAACCAUCCAUGCAGAAAUUAGAAUGAUCUAUGGAACAGGGGGUUAAUUGUGAUGAUUUAUUGAUGUAGCUAAAUUGGCAUGAAUUACUUGGCAUGAUUUCAGCAGCAUUCUGUCCUAUCUAUCUUGCAUGUUAACCUGACCAUCUUGCGGUUUAUAUGGAACAAAUCCUGAAGCUUUAAGAUUGCUCAAUAACUUUAAUCAGUAAACAUGAAAAUACAAAAAAGAAAUAAAGGCAUGCCUUUUUUUCUCAUAAAAAACAUUAUUGGUGUAUAAAAUAGGUAUUUCACCUCCAAUUGGUAUUUUAUUAGUUCCAUUGAAAAUGGAGGGCUAUAGUAGGUCCUUAUCUAUUAUGUAUUGUACCUAAACUUGGAAAUCACCGAUUGAAGGCAUUGUGCAUGGAGUACUAGCCCUGGGGUGAUGCUUCCUAAUUAGGCACGAAAAGGAUAGAGAUCAGUUUGACAUAUGUUCCAUUUGUAGCUAUACUGGAUAUUUCUGCAUGUUCCCCUGCAGCAGUAAAAGUCUGCUGAAGUGCUGAGUGCUUUCUUCUCAUUACCUUUUUCAGACUCUUUACACUGUUUCUUGGCAACGUGUAAAGCUAUUUUCUAAAUAUGCAAAUAUGUGAAACUGGUCUUAUGUCAUACACUAUGUUCAACAUUUCUACUGAUUUGUUCCUUAAAUAAAACUUUUACAGAGACAAAAGUUGACUCUGUUCUGCAGAUUAUCUACUUUAAUAUUUCUCUUGCCAAAUAAAUAGUCUUUUGCUGAUCCUAUUAACCUUUUCUAAUGCCGAACAAGAAUACAAAUUGCUCAAAAGCCGCCAGCAAUGACAAGUGGUUCAACGAUCUUGGCAACAAGUAAAAUCUGUAUUCCCAAACAAGUAAAAUCUCUAUUCUUUGUCUCGGAUGUUUGUUUGGAGGAUUGUGUGCAUGGAUCAUUGUUAUGAUCCAAGAUCAUAAUGGGGUAAGCAUCCGCCGGCCAUACUUCGAGUCCGCACCUGCGACCAAAGUAACUCAAGGGAAACGGUAGUGUCACGAAUCGCUUCCUAUCUAUGGGGUUAGCUGAGGCCAGCCGAAGUGAAGGUGUCAGUGUGGUACCGUUCCCCCGACAAUAUGGUAAUGGUUUAUAUUUUGCUCAACUGCGGUGCAAGAGUACAAUGCUUUUUAAAAUACAAGAUGAGAUGUAAUGGUUAUGCCAAAUCGUAAUUACCUUAGCUUGAUCAAAUGGUGCAUGAGCAGCAGUCUUACUCUUACUGUGACAAUGGUUGUGCUCACGUUUGAUAAGUGGGCAAGUAGCCUUGUGCUCUACUUAGAGAAUCAUAGGUGGAGUUUCUUGGUGCUGCUUCUCCUUUCGUCAGUUGACUUUCAUGGAGGUGUUAGCGGCGGUGAGAGUUGUCAUGUUGUAACACCCUUGUCUCGACCACGGGUCAUAUGAUUCGCCAAUGACGCAAUAUUUUCUGUUGCCGUGCUAUUAUCUAGUAAUACUUGAACGUUGGUAAUAGUGGACCUGUUGAUGCAUAAUUGGUAUGAUCAAUAACUUGAUAAGCAGUAUCGUUGAAACCAAGUCUAGGUGUGUUAUCUAUGAUCUUUUGUAUUCUGAAGUACACCAACUAUGACAUAGCUCUCCAUGGAACAAAUGGCAAGCAAAUACAAGUAAUAUAUUGUGUUAUAUUUUUUA